GGAUUUGAACCAAUGACUCUUGCCGUAUGAAAGCAAUACUCUAACCACUGAGUUAA
rnacentral:tRNA from 1 species